GACGAACGCUGGCGGCGUGCUUAACACAUGCAAGUCGAACGGACAGGCCCUGCUUUUGUGGGGUUCUCGAGUGGCGAACGGGUGAGUAACACGUGAGUAACCUGCCCUUGACUUUGGGAUAACUUCAGGAAACUGGGGCUAAUACCGGAUAUGAGCUCCUGCUGCAUGGUGUGGGUUGGAAAGUUUCGGCGGUUGGGGAUGGACUCGCGGCUUAUCAGCUUGUUGGUGGGGUAGUUGCUUACCAAGGCUUUGACGGGUAGCCGGCCUGAGAGGGUGACCGGCCACAUUGGGACUGAGAUACGGACCAGACGCCUACGGGAGGCAGCAGUGGGGAAUAUUGCACAAUGGGCGGAAGCCUGAGGCAGCAACGCCGCGUGCGGGAUGACGGCCUUCGGGGUGUAAACCGCUUUCGCCGGUGACGAAGAGUGAGUGACGGUAAUGGGUAAAGAAGCACCGGCUAACUACGUG
rnacentral:rRNA from 1 species